rnacentral:rRNA from 1 species
CCUACGGGUGGCAGCAGUGAGGAAUAUUGGUCAAUGGUCGGGAGACUGAACCAGUCAAGCCGCGUGAGGGAUGAAGGUACAGAGUAUCGUAAACCUCUUUUGUCAGGGAACAAAGGCGGGGACGUGUCCCCGGAUGAGUGUACCUGAAGAAAAAGCAUCGGCUAACUCCGUGCCAGCAGCCGCGGUAAUACGGAGGAUGCGAGCGUUAUCCGGAUUUAUUGGGUUUAAAGGGUGCGCAGGCGGCAUGUUAAGUCAGCGGUAAAAGCCCGGGGCUCAACCCCGGCCCGCCGUUGAAACUGGCAGUCUCGAGUGGGAGAGAAGUAUGCGGAAUGCGCGGUGUAGCGGUGAAAUGCAUAGAUAUCGCGCAGAACUCCGAUUGCGAAGGCAGCAUGCCGGCUCCACACUGACGCUGAGGCACGAAAGCGUGGGUAUCGAACAGGAUUAGAUACCCCGGUAGUC